GGGAGUAGCUCAGUGGUAGAGUUUCUGCCUUCCAAGCAGAAUGUCGCGGGUUCGAAUCUCGUCUCCC
rnacentral:tRNA from 1 species